rnacentral:rRNA from 1 species
AUGAACGCUGGCGGCGUGCCUAAUACAUGCAAGUCGCGCGAACAGACGAGGAGCUUGCUCCUCUGACGUUAGCGGCGGACGGGUGAGUAACACGUGGAUAACCUACCUAUAAGACUGGGAUAACUUCGGGAAACCGGAGCUAAUACCGGAUAAUAUAUUGAACCGCAUGGUUCAAUAGUGAAAGACGGUUUUGCUGUCACUUAUAGAUGGAUCCGCGCCGCAUUAGCUAGUUGGUAAGGUAACGGCUUAUCAAGGCAACGAUGCGUAGCCGACCUGAGAGGGUGAUCGGCCACACUGGAACUGAGACACGGUCCAGACUCCUACGGGAGGCAGCAGUAGGGAAUCUUCCGCAAUGGCGAAAGCCUGACGGAGCAACGCCGCGUGAGUGAUGAAGGUCUUCGGAUCGUAAAACUCUGUUAUUAGGGAAGAACAAAUGUGUAAGUAACUAUGCACGUCUUGACGGUACCUAAUCAGAAAGCCACGGCUAACUACGUG